CUUUUCUUUCCUCUUCCGGGAGCAUUCUCUUCCACCGCAAGCCACCGCGAGCCCAGCUGCUGCUUCUUUCGCCUGGACGCCAUUGCCGUUCGAGAUCAUGGCCAGAACACGAGGUUUAGGUCGUGCCAUAGGUAGAUUUGUAGGCAGAGAUAGAGCUGCUGGCGAGGAUGCUGGCGAUGUUCCCGAGAGGCGUAGGCCUACUGCCUCAGCCCGUAGGCUACGCGUUCAUCAGAUGACUACGGAGGGAC